UUGCUGUCAUUGGCUAGAACAAAAGUCUCAGUUAUUGUGUCCGUCAUGACAGGUCUCUGUCCAAUCGGAAAAGAUUGCCACAUAAACCUAACCUAAUAAUACUGUGUAAUACCAGUCCGCUACGUACAACCGGAUGCCAUUGGAUUGCGUAAAAACGUUUCACGGAACUCUUCCUGUGUUACAAAUGAAGAACAGUCGAGACAUUGGUCACAACGAUAAAUUUCAAUUGAGCGUUGAUCCCCGAAGGCAAUAAGUCUGUAUCGGCCCCGAUACCAGCCUGCAUCGUCACAAACUGGAGGAGACCCAGGAAAUUCCGCAAUGACAUCAGAGUAUACUGAUGACAGUCCAUUGACAAUCCCACUCCAAUUAUUCCUAGCACCCAGAACGAAGAGAAAUGAACCCAUUGAUAAGUAUACGGAUCGACUCAGCAUUAAUUUUUGAUCCGUGUUGAUACGUGUACAAACUAAAGGUUGCAAUUUUCAUCCCAUUAUCUUCAAUUUGCAAUGCCAUUUUUUGAUCUAGGACAAAGCAUAUUGAAAUUGGAAAAACUCGUUUCAGAUUUGGAUAUAGCUGGACUAAAAUUGCAUCAAGUAUUUAUUAUCUGAUUACUGGUUAGUUUAAUGGAAAUCAGUCAGAUACCCAAUACUAAAUUGUUUUGUAGGCUUAUAUUAUAAUAUUGUAACAAAUUGCUGUUUUUACAAAUAAAUUUGUCAAAGUGUUAACUCCCCAUA